rnacentral:rRNA from 1 species
GGGAUGACACAGUAGGAUAAGCUAAGCACACUGUUGGUUAUGUGUGCCCAAGCAUUGAGGCAGUCAAAGUAGGCAAAUCCGCUUUGAUAAUGCUGGGAUGUGAUGGGGAGCGAAAUUUAGUAGCGAAGUAGCUGAUUUCACACUGUCAAGAAAAGUCUCUAUCGAGGUUAAAGGUACCCGUACCGCAAACCGACACAGGUUGGUGAGGAGAGUAUCCUAAGGCCAGCGAGAGAACUGUUGUUAAGGAACUCGGCAAAAUGACCCAGUAACUUAGGGAUAAGGGGUGCCACCAUCAGGUGGCCGCAGAGAAUAGGCCCAAGCGACUGUUUACCAAAAACAUAGGUUUCUGCUAAGUCGCAAGACGAUGUAUAGGCGCUGACGCCUGCCCGGUGCUGGAAGGUUAAGGGGAUCUGUUAGAGCAAUCGAAGCAGUGAACUUAAGCCCCAGUAAACGGCGGCCGUAACUAUAACAGUCCUAAGGUAGCGAAUUUCCUUGACGGGUAAGUUCCGUCCCGCACGAAAGGCGUAACGAUUUGGGCACUGUCUCA